rnacentral:misc_RNA from 1 species
CUAAAACUGACUAGAGGACCAAGUAAUCUGACAUUUUGGAAUCAUUAGAUGGAAGAGAACUAUUGAGUUCGAGGCAUAAGAGCAAAACAGGAUUAAUGAUGACUAUUGCUUGCAUAACUUGAGUUUUGAGCUCUGAAUUUGAGAACAACCUUCAACUAAAGAUUUGACCAAAUGAACAAUUGAACUCUCUUUGCAAUUAGAACCA